GAUGAAGAACGUAGCGAAAUGCGAUAAGUAAUGUGAAUUGCAGAAUUCAGUGAAUCAUCGUAUCUUUGAACGCACAUUGCGCCCUCUGGUAUUCCGGGGGGCAUGCCUGUUCGAGCGUCAUUAUAACCACUCAAGCUCUCGCUUGGUAUUGGGGUUCGCGGUUUCGCGGCCCUAAAAUCAGUGGCGGUGCCUGUCGGCUCUACGCGUAGUAAUACUCCUCGCGAUUGAGUCCGGUAGGUCUACUUGCCAGCAACCCCUAAUUUUUUUAAGGUUGACCUCGGAUCAGGUAGGGAUACCCGCUGAACUUAAGCCUAUCAAUAAGCGGAGGA
rnacentral:misc_RNA from 1 species